AUGAGCCCAUAUUUAACUCAUCUACGACAAUCUGCUAGUGUUGAUGAGGAACCGGUUAUUACUAUUGAUAUUUAUGAUCCAACCAAUUGGGGUAGUCUUGAUAACAAAGACAGGGACAUAUUAGUGGAAAAGGGGCCUAAAAGGGAAAAAAACACUAAAUAUCCGUUUGAUGAAAAUUCACGAUAUUUUUUAAAAACGCUAAAACACUCAAGAAAAAUGAGCAAUGGAGAGGUGUGUGAUAGGAGAUGGUUAGUUUUUUCAAAACACGCAAAAAGUUGUUCUGUUUUUGCUUUAAGCUUUUCAACUCCGAUAAAUGCAAGAAUGCAUUUGGGGCCUGAAAUGUCAAUCAGGUAG
rnacentral:rRNA from 1 species